AGUGUAGAGGAGGCAGGUAGCCUAGUGGUUAGAGUGUAGAGGUGGCAGGUAGCCUAGUGGUUAGAGUGUAGAGGAGGUAGGUAGACUAGUGGUUAGAGUGUAGAGGCGGCAGGUAGCCUAGUGGUUAGAGUGUAGAGGAGGCAGGUAGCCUAGUGGUUAGAGUGUAGAGGAGGCAGGUAGCCUAGUGGUUAGAGUGUAGAGGAGGCAGGUAGACUAGUGGUUAGAGUGUAGAGGAGGCAGGUAGCCUAGUGGUUAGAGUGUAGAGGAGGCAGGUAGCCUAGUGGUUAGAGUGUAGAGGAGGCAGGUAGCCUAGUGGUUAGAGUGUAGAGGAGGCAGGUAGACUAGUGGUUAGAGUGUAGAGGAGGCAGGUAGACUAGUGGUUAGAGUGUAGAGGAGGCAGGUAGCCUAGUGGUUAGAGUGUAGAGGAGGCAGGUAGCCUAGUGGUUAGAGUGUAGAGGAGGCAGGUAGCCUAGUGGUUAGAGUGUAGAGGAGGCAGGUAGACUAGUGGUUAGAGUGUAGAGGAGGCAGGUAGACUAGUGGUUAGAGUGUAGAGGAGGCAGGUAGUCUAGUGGUUAGAGUGUAGAGGAGGCAGGUAGACUAGUGGUUAGAGUGUAGAGGAGGCAGGUAGACUAGUGGUUAGAGUGUAGAGGAGGCAGGUAGACUAGUGGUUAGAGUGUAGAGGAGGCAGGUAGACUAGUGGUUAGAGUGUAGAGGAGGCAGGUAGCCUAGUGGUUAGAGUGUAGAGGAGGCAGGUAGACUAGUGGUUAGAGUGUAGAGGAGGCAGGUAGCCUAGUGGUUAGAGUGUAGAGGAGGCAGGUAGCCUAGUGGUUAGAGUGUAGAGGAGGCAGGUAGACUAGUGGUUAGAGUGUAGAGGAGGCAGGUAGCCUAGUGGUUAGAGUGUAGAGGAGGCAGGUAGCCUAGUGGUUAGAGUGUAGAGGAGGCAGGUAGACUAGUGGUUAGAGUGUAGAGGAGGCAGGGUGGCCUAGUGGUUAGAGUGUAGAGGAGGCAGGUAGCCUAGUGGUUAGAGUGUAGAGGAGGCAGGUAGCCUAGUGGUUAGAGUGUAGAGGAGGCAGGUAGACUAGUGGUUAGAGUGUAGAGGAGGCAGGUAGCCUAGUGGUUAGAGUGUAGAGGAGGCAGGUAGCCUAGUGGUUAGAGUGUAGAGGAGGCAGGUAGACUAGUGGUUAGAGUGUAGA